rnacentral:rRNA from 1 species
UACGUAGGGGGCAAGCGUUGUCCGGAAUCAUUGGGCGUAAAGCGCGUGUAGGCGGCUCGGUAAGUCUGCUGUGAAAGUCCAGGGCUCAACCCUGGAAAGCCGGUGGAAACUGUCGAGCUAGAGUCCGGAAGAGGCGAGUGGAAUUCCUGGUGUAGCGGUGAAAUGCGCAGAUAUCAGGAGGAACGCCAAUGGCGAAGGCAGCUCGCUGGGACGGUACUGACGCUGAGACGCGAAAGCGUGGGGAGCAAACAGG